rnacentral:lncRNA from 1 species
CAUCUUCUUGGAAGUGGUAGAGAUUGGUUAACACUCCACAAGUGGACUGUAUGAGUUAAACCGUGACUCCCCUUCCUGUUCUUGUGUGGUCCUGCUGCUGCUGUGAUCUCUACUAGGACUCCUACCAGACUCAAGAGGACACAGCUGAAACAAUAUAUCAUUUUAAAUUAUAAAAGAUAA